rnacentral:lncRNA from 1 species
AGAAACACCAUCACCUACACAUACCUCUGCUUCUUUUCAUUAACCUGUUAUCCUCUUUACAAAUGGUAUUCUUCACCCACUCCCUUCUUCCAGAUUAGCAAUGCCCUGUUAAGUAAACGAACAUGAAAUUCAAAGGGAAACAGGAACAAUAAUCAUUACCAGCUGCCGUGUUAAGCAUUGUGAAAACGCUCACGAUUCACAGAAAAAUCCAUGCUGUUCUUUGAAGGCAUUCAAGCCUUAAUAGCUAGCUGGAUGAAUGUUUAACUUCUAGGCCAGGCACUACUCUGUCCCAACAAUAAGCCCUGUACAUUGGGAAAGGUGCCGAAGACAUGAACUUUGGUCUUCUCUGCAAUCCCUCUGGAGCAUUCAGUGACAACGUCGACUUUGAAGUUGCACUGACCUGGCCAGCCCUGCCACUUACCAGGUUGGGGUUUGCCCUCAGGGGAAGCUAUCUAACCAGAGCCUAACCCACUAGGGUUUUAUCAGAACCUAACUGGCCUGAGGAAAAGAAAUAUUCAACUCCAGCAAGCUCCAGCCUUCCAAACGGAGGAGGAGAAAACCCAAAUCCAGCCCACUUCAGCUAUCUUGUCCCACAUAAAGGGGGAGUGGAAGAAACGUGAGAAGCAGGCAUGAAGUUCACAGUCCGGAGGCCUUGCCAUCGUAUCCCCUUUUGGAGACACAAGCCAGGAAGGAAGCUCUUCAGUGCAGCUGUGAAUAGAGAAACGCUGGCUGAGGUUUUGGGGACACUGGGUGAUCAUUCCCAGUGAAAUUUUUAGAUCCCUGGGGACAUGAGCUGCUUUGUCUUUUCCAAGGUCAGGAUAAACAGAAUAGCUUCAGGCUCCUCUACCCAGAAAGAACAUGUGGCAUAAACAUCAACUGCAGAAUAAAUAUGAUUAAGCUGGCACAUGGACGAAGAUGUUUUCUAGGAGAUGCUUAUCCUGGGACGAGAGCUUUCAUAAGCAUUGAUGUUUACAUGACUCUUACUGUGUGUCAGGAACUGGUCGAAUUGUUUUACCUAUGUCAAUUCAUUUGAUAGUCACAACCACUGAAAGGGGUAAGUACUCUUAUUACUUCCAUUUUACAGAUAGGGAAACUGAGGUAUAGAGAAGUCAAGUGACUUGCCCAAGGUUAUUAAACUACUUAAUGUCAACACUA